rnacentral:rRNA from 1 species
AUGGGUGUUGGCUCGAACAAUUCGCAUUGGUCUCAAACCAAUGACAUGCAUUUUGAAGACCUUGAGUUCGAGGUGGACGAGGAUGGUGAGGGCAUUAUCAACGCACCGAAAGGAAGAGCGGGCAAUUAGACCAACACCGAAGACAUCUUACUAUGCAAUACUUGGUUGCAAGUGUCGAGGGAUACAUCCAUUGGAGGUGAUCAAAGUAGAGAUGCAUAUUGGCUCCGGAUGAAAGAACACUUUGAUCUUCGCAACAUGAGUGAAAUUGACCGCUCCGCACGAUCACUUCGCUUUCAGUGGUCGACCAUCAAUAGGGAUUGUCAACAAUGGUCGGCCGCACAAAAAGCGGUUGACAAGUUGAACCCAAGUGGCACCAAUGAUGAUGAUUGGGUAAGUGUGGUUUCAUCAUUCCUCAUGUUCACAUCAUGCUUGUUGUUGGUGUUUCUUGUGUUAACCUGUUUUGUUUUCAUGUAG